rnacentral:rRNA from 1 species
UGGGGAUUUUUCCGCAAUGGGCGAAAGCCUGACGGAGCAAUACCGCGUGAGGGAGGAAGGCUCUUGGGUUGUAAACCUCUUUUCUCAGGGAAGAAAAAAUGACGGUACCUGAGGAAUAAGCAUCGGCUAACUCCGUGCCAGCAGCCGCGGUAAUACGGAGGAUGCAAGCGUUAUCCGGAAUGAUUGGGCGUAAAGCGUCCGCAGGUGGCUGUGUAAGUCUGCUGUUAAAGAGUCUGGCUCAACCAGAUAAAGGCAGUGGAAACUACACGGCUAGAGUGCGUUCGGGGCAGAGGGAAUUCCUGGUGUAGCGGUGAAAUGCGUAGAGAUCAGGAAGAACACCGGUGGCGAAAGCGCUCUGCUAGGCCGCAACUGACACUGAGGGACGAAAGCUAGGGGAGCGAAUGGGAUUAGAUACCCCAGUAGUC